GCAUCCGCAACAUUGGUGGCUCCAGAGAGGAAAAUGUUGCUAGCCACGCGCCUAGAGUAUGACUCUGGAGUCCUUCAAUACCACAUUCGGAGAGGUUCGAGCUGAUAUGGCAAACAUCACCCAAGAUCAGAAGCAGAUACUGGCAAAAAUUCACGAUUCUAAAACCGAGAUGUGAUUUUUUCAUCAGCAUUCGAGUUACAAUCGAUCAAGGUGAUCAUCCGAGCUUUAACUUAUGCAUUAACGUUCGAAAAUCGCUUCCGCAACAUUGGUGGCUCCAGAGAGGAGCGGUGCCUGUAGCUCGAUAGUGGUCAAUAGAAACUACAGUAGAAUUUGAGAAUAAAGAAAUCCAGAAUUAUUAACACAGAAAAACCCGAGGAGACUGGUUAUGUGGUACCCGACCAAUUUUCCAGCUAAUAAAAAUUGUAGUCGUGAAACCUGACAAAAGCCGCCGCAACAAUAAAGCGUAGUUUGUAGUUGGGAUCAAGCGUAGGGUACACUCGUUGGAUCCUCGACCAGAGAGAAACCAACCCAAGUAACACAUUUGUCACAGAAGAGUCACGGCGGCGCUGGUUUUUGUCCCAGCAGAAGUCCCAGUGACUUAUUUCUAGCAAACAAACAUUUGUUUGUUAGAAGUAAGUCGCAGUGACUUUUGCGCAACAAAAUUCUGCGCCGUCGUGACUCUUUUGCGACAAAUGUGUUACUUAAGAAGCCGACCGUGGGCGGAUUCAGUCAGAAUAUUGUGUACAUAGGCGUCAAAGCAUUUUAACUUCUUUUUUUCUUUGUUUUGUCUUUUUUGUGUUAACGAAUAUUGAUGACCAUCCUGUGUCUCAGUGUUGUUAAUAUCACUGGAAUGAAGACGUUAUUGAGCCGCAAAAUCGCAAGCGAAAAAGAAAGAUUUGUUCCGCUAGGAAAUCUUCUCUGGUAAUUAUUACGGAAAAUGUUCCAGAAGUUCUCCCGACAGUUUCUCCAGAAAAUCUUCAAAAUAAACUUUGGAAAUUAUUUCCAAAUGCCAUCCGCGAGUCUUUCAGAAAUUUCUACAGGAACGCUUCUGGAAAUUUUUCGGAAAAUUCUUUCGCUGAUUCAUUCUUAAGAUCUUCUGGGAACUCUUGACCGAUAUCCUCAGUCAAAACAUCUGAAAGUUUCCUGUAGAAUUCUAGCGGAAGUUUCUCCGCGAGUAAUAUUUGAAACUCCUCCUUUUUUCAAAAGUUCUUUCACAAUUUUUGUCAAAAGUUGGCUGCGAAAUUUUCCCACAACACCCUUUAGAAAUUCUCCUGGAAGUUUUCUGAGCAGCUCUUCCGAAAAUUCCUAUAAAAAAUCUUCAGGAAAAGCCUGCGGGAAUGUUUCCGGAAAUUUUUCUUUUUGCAAUUAUUCCAUUUAAUUUAAGAGCAUAUCCAGAAGUUCCUGCAGGGAUCACUCCAGGAG